UCUCCGUAGGUGAACCUGCGGAGGGAUCAUUACAGAGUUCAUGCCCUACCGGGUAGAUCUCCCACCCUGUGUUAUUAUUACUUUGUUGCUUUGGCGGGCCGUUAGGCUCCGGCCCGACUACCGGCCCCGGCUGGUAAGCGCCCGCCAGAGGACCCAAAACCCUGAAUAUUAGUGUUGUCUGAGUACUAUAUAAUAGUUAAAACUUUCAACAACGGAUCUCUUGGUUCUG
rnacentral:misc_RNA from 1 species